AAAUGGAAUAAAUACAUGCCUAAUCAUAAAUGUAAAAUAACCCAGUGAUGCAUCUGGGCCUUCAAAUGGCUUUUAAAAUUCAGCUAGGCCCAUAUCCCAGGCACAGAUAAUGUGCUCAAAACCACAGCACCAAGAACCAGAUUCAGCAGUUCAGGCCUAACAACAAGACAAUUUUCUUGCCCAUCCAUUACCAGUUAUAGAUAAUUAAAGCGCGAAUGGAAACUCAUGCAAACCCCAAAUCAUCUAAGAUAACUCAAAUUCUAAGGUGGAGCAUAUGCUCAUUUGAACCCUAAUACCACAACUAACAAAAGAAAGAAUUCUAAACGUCCCAAAGGAUAGGUCACACACUUGAACAUCACAUAAGCACACAUAAGAUGUAGAGAGUAUGCAAAAUACAUAGAUUUGACAUAUACAGGGGUUUUCAUAUUAGCAAACAAGUUCCAGGUAACAAGUUUCUUGAGAUACACAUGAUUUGAUUGUAGAAAUCUAGCAUACAAGAAUCUACAAAACAAAGGAGUUAAGCAUGAGAGUUCAAAGCAAACGGGGUCAUGAAUUAGUUUCCAGAAGGUUAACAAGUAGCAAUGACAUGAUCGAGAGACAAGGACCGACAGUGAACUUCACAAGAAAAUCUUAACAUAAGUAUGCGGGGGCAAAGCAUAACUAAGAUUUGUAAGUCAAUUCGUGACAAACAGAAAGUAUUUAUAAGAAAACCUAUUAAGAAAUUAAAGGUCAACAAUAUUGAAAAACUUGCACAACAGCUAAUUAGCAGGCAUAUAUCUAAUUCUGGGAAUGUAAGUCUAUAACAAGUUUCAUUAUACAUACCAAGUGUCACACCCCUUUUUACCCCCCAAAAAAAUAUAUGUAUGUCAUGGAUUGUUGUGGGUUAAAGAGUUUUUUCAAUUAAAGUGAUAUUUUUGAAGUAGUGAUUAUUUUAUUAUUCAGAGUCGCCACUUGGAAUUUGAUUUUUGAGUGUUCCAAGUCACAUUUUAUUUGAAUCCCUAUUCAAAGGAAGAUUUGAUUCUUUUAUUAUUGGUCUGCGAAAACAAAGUCUGCGUAAGGAAUUCUAUUGACCGGGGAGAAGAUGUAAGGCAUUCUCCGAGUCUCGUGGUUCUGGCACGGUCUCUUUAUUGACUACAACUUGGCUUGAAUUAAUUUUGGAUAAAAUAUAAUUUAUUAGUUUUCAUGUAUUAUCUAUCCGCUUUUAAUUAUUAAAAUAUGGAAUUAGAUUUGAAACGAAUCACGUGUGUGAAUCCGUUGUAUUUAUUAUGCCAAAAUCAUGUCACGCGUACGUGUACACAAUUAAUAGCAUUUUAUUAUAUUAAGAUUAUUUUGGCUAAAUUUGCGUGAGCACAUACUUCGGUUUUAAUUUUAGAAAUCACAAUUAUGCCACGCGAACGUAUACAUAAUCGCGACAAACUAAUUAAAAGCGCGCCUAGAGCAUACUAGCGAUAUUUAUGAGUUACUUUCCUAAACUAGUUUGAGAUUAUUGUAAGGUUACGAUGGAUAUGGAAUUAUUGUGGAAGAAAUGAGUGAUUUUAACUAUUAUGAAUUUUUUUAAAAGAUACUUAAAACUAAAGUUAUCGUUACAACCCAACAAUUCAUGCCUAUAUCUUUUUACUAAUUAAAAUAUCAUUAUUAAAGCAAAAACACCUAUUAUAAUAAAAACUUUUAGCAUGAGAAAUGAUUUACUGCGUAGAAGAAACAGAUGCAAAGAUCCAAUAAUCUAAACAAAACUUUAACGACACAGACGAACAUGAAAUAAACCAAACAAAAAGGAUUUCCACGGCAAAACAUUUAGCAUUCUUCAUUUUUAUAGUUUGGGCUUAAGAAAUCAAGAUUAAGCACUUACAUCCUUAACAACAAAGUUAACAGAAUACAAAAAUAUUCCACCACACAAUACAACAAAAUUUACGAACACGGAAAAUUCAAACGACACCGCCAUAAUAGAUUAUAAACAUUUAACAAAGUAUGAUCUUCCGAGCAAAAUGGUAAAGAAGAAAACAACAGACCUUUGAAGCCUUUCAAUAUAUAAAAGAUCUUCCAACUAGUUUACAAGAAGAAUAUGACACUGUAGUUGAACACGAACAACUCCAUCGUCCGGAGACCUUAAACGACAACCUCAACUGCGCACUCGCGAGCCCGAUCUCCGACUACUCCAAACUCAAAACUUGAGAUGAAAGAUCCAUUUGUUCUGCUCUUUUAAACGGCUGAAUCGUAGCAGCUUUAAAUAAGAAAAUAAAUUAUUUUGGAGCUGGGUUUUUGACUGAGCUUAGGAGGUCGUUUUUGAAGCUUUUUCGGAGUUGAUUUUGAGCUAUUUUUCAACUAGAUUCGAGAUUGGAUUUGAGCUGGAGUUUUCAGCUUACUUCCAUGGAUUGGACUGGAGUUUUGGGGUAGUUUUUGGCUGGCGUUUGGGGUUGAUUUAAAUUGGUUUUUG
rnacentral:lncRNA from 1 species